rnacentral:lncRNA from 1 species
AAAAAUGGUCUCGGUAUUCUCAUGGGAAAAAGCAAGAGCAUUCUCAAGAGCCUCUGUAGACAGAGAAGGCGAGUUCCUGGCCAAGAAUAAAAAUGGGAAAGUCUGAAAUGUUGAGCGCUUCUGAUUAAACCUUCAGUGGUAUAUUUCUCUUAGACAAAGCAUUUGUCAUAAGUAGCUUGUCUGCCUGAGUAUGAUUUAUGCGGCUGAACUGCAAUUGGCUGAAUAAUUUAUGCUAUUUAUUGUUCCGCAAAGUUUCUUUUCUUAAUAAAUAAAUAAAUAAUGCUGGGCUAAGAGAAAGGGGAAAUAGUGGCAAGUGUCAGCAGUGUGAUGAGAGAAAAAAGUCUUUUUUUCCGUGUUGAAAGCUAAUACAGUGUAUCUAAGAGGAAUGGUCUCCACGCAGAAGGGCAAGACUCUAAUAGGUGAAUAUUGUCAGCGUUUUCAACGAAACCAAUUGGCUAAGAGAAGCUGUCAAAUCGGUGUGAAAUGAGGUCCGUGAAGAUGACCUGGGAAAUUCGUCUGCGUCUCUGGUCCCUUGAGCACACACGCCUGACAGCCCGAGGCUGGGGAGGUGGCGGGGUGACCGCAUGAUGACAGCUGUCAGAUUUAUCAGAGAAGUGAACUCGUCACAUCUCUGCUAUUCCCCCAGAAGUGUGUGCAGAAGUGAGAGACUCCCGGCCCAGGAAGAAAGAUCUAAAGCUGUGUCCAUAUCGCUAAACACGGCAUUUGAUUUCUUUCCCCAUCAGGGUCCACCUGAGUGGGAGGAGUUACUCUUUGAAGGCAACAAGCAUGGAGACUGGAAGUUAAUGAUUAGACCCACCUUCUUGCACAGAAGGAAACUAAAUCCGAUCAACCAGAGGAGCCCGAAGAAAAUGAAUAAGUGGCAGAAAACCUUAUAAAAAGAAAACAAAAAGUCUGCUGCAAAACCACAGCCCCUGUGACAAUCAGAGGGGGAAGACACAGGGUAAUCUCCCCCCUUAUUGAAAUAUUCAUUUGUCCUUUCUCUGCUGUUUUGGAAGCAUUGACAGCAGCUUUCACAAGCUUUCAGCUUCAAUUUAGAAAGUAGCUCUUCAAAGAGAAGGAUGAUCUUUAAUUUCUUCUUCACCUUUCUACAGCACUCUGCACACAGCUGGUGUUCAAUAAAUGUUUUGCGCACUCAAAUGUAAGAAGUAUG